UUCGGCAAAUUCACCCCGUCGCAAAGACACCAAUCUUGUACGACGGCUAAACAAACCCGUGGCAAAGACACCAAUUGCAUACGACGGCAAAACAUCCCCGUUGCCAUAAAACAAAUUGUAUGCUACUGCAUACCUACGCCGUCGCAUAUUGUGAUAUGAAUUGCUACCACAAAUGUGCCGUCGGGUGUACUUUGUUCUAAAUUCUGUGUUAGAGGGCAAAAGAGAAUUGAACUUUGAAAAAUUUCUCUUUGGGUCGGCCUCUCUUCCGCUCUCAACCUACUUCUCUUCCGUAUCAGAUCUAUGAGAAGCUAGUGUGGUGUUUGGGUAUUCAGAGUACCAAAGUCACAAAAACAUGCAUCUUGUCUCUGGUUGUUGCCCUAAGGUUGGGUGAUUGAAGCAGAGGAUAGAUAUGCUUCGUAUUUGAUAGGGAAAGCUUUUUUGAAGCAGCUGAAAGUGUUCCUGGGGUAAUUUUUUCAACUUAGUUCUUUAUUUUUUAGAUUUGGUUGUAUUGAAUUCAAUUGCCAUUUGUAUGCUUAUCUAUUUUGUGACAGUUUUCGAUGAAAGAAAGCAUGGAAAGUUUUCAUUCUCUCUGAUAUGAAGGUACUCCUUGAUUAAUGACUAAGAUUGCUUUUGCUGUUGUCUUGCAAUUUCAAAACCGGAUUAGAAUAAAACUGCUGGAAUCUGCCUUACAUUUCAAAAGCGAUGUACUUAAUUUGCUUGCUAAGAUUGAACUUCUUCACCAGAUUUCUAUCAAAUCCAGUCGAUUCACUAGCUAGAAGAUCUACGAACCCAGACGUUCAUCUAGAAAGAAAUUUGAUGAAACACAAAGGAAAAGGUGAGAUCUACUCACAUCUGAACGUGAGUGUUCGUCCAUAUCUUGCGGUAAUUUUUUUUCAUUUUUUUGGUUCAUUUGAGCUGUUCGUACUUCGUAGUGUUUUCUUAAGAUUCAGAGUACUUCUCUAUAAGUCAACCAUUUUAGAGAGCAGUUUAGCUCGAUACAAUCUUUUGUUAAAUUGGUGAGCUUGAUCCAAAGUUUUAGUCUUCGUAAUGUCUGUAGAUUUGGUGCUAUCCUAUGCAAUGAAUCCAAGUAAGUUAUGGACAAAUCUAAUCUCAUUUAUAAAUAGUAUAUGCAUUCAUCAUCCAGUUCGUGUUUACCAAAUUGUGAUCCAAAAUUGUUUUGCUUCAAAUUGUGAUCCAAUAUUUUUUUGGUAUUCUAACUUGUGAUUUACUUUGUGUUUUUAAUUUUCUGUUACAACAGUAUUAGCGCAUGAUUGCUUUCAUAACCUAAAAUUGGUUUAUAUUGAUUCUCUGGUUUGUAGUGUUUCCAUGUAUGCAUACUCACAGGUUAUUGUGCUAGAUUAGAGAUGUAAGUUAGCUUAUAUGUUUCCUCUCAAAAAAAAAAAGUUAGCUUAUAUGUUGAAAGUUGAAACUGUAUCCUUUAUAUUAUUGGAUUCAUCUGCUUUGACUUGCAGUAUUUUCAUAUUUUGGUCAUUUAUGCUGCCUUUGGUAUGAUACAAGGCAAAAGUUAUAUAAAAGACCAAUAUAUUGCCCUCUUUCAUGAAGAUGUUUCAACUUAUUUUAGAUCUUGUUUUUCUCUUUAUUUUCUCCUUCUAUAGUUUUUUUUUCCCCUUAUUGAUGCAUUCCUUGCUCAGUAGUUACUUUUAUGCAUGACUAAUUCAUGGGAAUUGGUUUUCUUAUCGGAAGCCCUAUUGGCCAAAUUCUUAUGAACCUCGACUAUUUGCAUAUGAAUCAUAUUCUUCAUCUAGAGUGUCAAGUUUCAUUACACAUUUGUUCUUGCGUACUUGGCCAAGGUAAUUCAUAAUUUGAUCUGAUGUUGUUUUUUACUGAUAUUCCAUUUUCUUAAUGUUCGCUAAUAUAUGCUUUGGUAAUUUAUCCUCUUAUUUCCUAUAUUCCCCAAACGGACAUAUAGUUUUGCUGACAACAAAUGAUCUAUUCGGGUGCAGGUGAUGACUGUUUGGACUUGCCAAGAUGUUGACUUCAGAUGAUCUUGCUUGCGAUGCACAAUGUCUUGAAGCUAUCUAUAUCAAAUAUAUCUUAAUUCAGGAGGAUUGGUAGCUGUAUGUGUCCCAAUCUGAUAUACCUUGUAGUUCCAAAUCAGAUAUGGUCUUUGGACAAAGAGAACCAAGAAGGCUGGUAUUGUCGGGAAGUAUGGUGAAGAAUGAUUUUCUGUAACUUUUUGUUUGGGGACUGCAGAUUGUAUAGGAGUGGAGCCAAAAGACAGUUUUGUAAAUUGUUGCGAAAAGAAUCCAGAACCCAGAAUAAGAUUCUCUAUUUCAUAUCACUUGUAUUCAAGACUCGAAGCAUAUCGUGUCAGGCCGACAACAACAACAACAAGAGUGACCUGCAUCCGCUGCUUUGGGGUGGAGAUCAUGUGCAGUGACCACGCUGGGUAGAGAUGGUAGUGACUUGACAGCUACAACCAUUGGUAAAGCACGUUGGCAGGAACUUGACCAUGUUGUGGAAGAACUGGAGAAAAUUGUUGUUGUCAAUCUUCAGCACCGUACCGAUUAAUAAUAUCUCUCAUUGGAAAUGUGCAGAAAUCAUCACUAAUAUUAGAGAAGGUGUUGUACUGUGUUUUGCCAAGUACUUAGAAAGCAUUCCCUAUUUUCUUUUGUUCUCUGGUUGAUGACAAGUGUUGUUCAAUUGAUCAAACAGGGUUAUCAGCUAUGUAUGUAUUUGAAUCUGGUAUUCAUGUUUUGGUGCAUUUUAUAUAAAAUUUAUUACUAGGCUUCUUUUGCUCCA